rnacentral:rRNA from 1 species
AUACAUGCAAGUCGAGCGAGCUUGCCUAUAGAAAUUCUUCGGAAUGGACAUAGAUACAAGCUAGCGGCGGAUGGGUGAGUAACGCGUGGGUAACCUGCCCUUAAGUCUGGGAUACCAUUUGGAAACAGAUGCUAAUACCGGAUAAAAGCUACUUUCGCAUGAAAGAAGUUUAAAAGGCGGCGUAAGCUGUCGCUAAAGGAUGGACCUGCGAUGCAUUAGCUAGUUGGUAAGGUAACGGCUUACCAAGGCGAUGAUGCAUAGCCGAGUUGAGAGACUGAUCGGCCACAUUGGGACUGAGACACGGCCCAAACUCCUACGGGAGGCAGCAGUAGGGAAUCUUCCACAAUGGACGAAAGUCUGAUGGAGCAACGCCGCGUGAGUGAAGAAGGUUUUCGGAUCGUAAAGCUCUGUUGUUGGUGAAGAAGGAUAGAGGUAGUAACUGGCCUUUAUUUGACGGUAAUCAACCAGAAAGUCACGGCUAACUACGUGCCAGCAGCCGCGGUAAUACGUAGGUGGCAAGCGUUGUCCGGAUUUAUUGGGCGUAAAGCGAGCGCAGGCGGAUUGAUAAGUCUGAUGUGAAAGCCUUCGGCUCAACCGAAGAACUGCAUCAGAAACUGUCAAUCUUGAGUGCAGAAGAGGAGAGUGGAACUCCAUGUGUAGCGGUGGAAUGCGUAGAUAUAUGGAAGAACACCAGUGGCGAAGGCGGCUCUCUGGUCUGUAACUGACGCUGAGGCUCGAAAGCAUGGGUAGCGAACAGGAUUAGAUACCCUGGUAGUCCAUGCCGUAAACGAUGAGUGCUAAGUGUUGGGAGGUUUCCGCCUCUCAGUGCUGCAGCUAACGCAUUAAGCACUCCGCCUGGGGAGUACGACCGCAAGGUUGAAACUCAAAGGAAUUGACGGGGGCCCGCACAAGCGG